GGACUGGGAGGGACUGGGGGGGAAUGGGACGGACUGGGAGGGACUGGGAGGGAAUGGGAGGGAAUGGGAGGGACUGGGAGGGAAUAGGAGGGAAUGGGAGGGAAUGGGAGGGAAUGGGGGGGACUGGGAGGGACUGGGAGGGAAUGGGACGGACUGGAAGGGAAUGGGAGGGACUGGGAGGGAAUGGGAGGGAAUGGGAGGGAAUGGGAGGGAAUGGGACGGACUGGGAGGGACUGGGAGGGAAUAGGAGGGAAUGGGAGGGAAUGGGAGGGAAUAGGAGGGAAUGGGAGGUGAAUGGGAGGGACUGGGACGGACUGGGAGGGAAUGGGAGGGAAUGGGAGGGAAUGGGAGGGACUGGGGGGGAAUGGGAGGUGAA
ensembl:lncRNA